rnacentral:misc_RNA from 1 species
CUCCGAAACACUACACACAUAAACCAAAAACUAUCUUUCUCUCUCCCCGCUGCCAAUGGCCAGCCCAGUAACAAUGACGAAGCUAUUCAAAAACUGCAAGUCUCUUCCUAUCCAUCUCCUCCGUGGCUCCAGUAGCAUCCCAAUGGAAACCAAGAUUGUUGGCAAGAGACCGAGCCCUAUCUCUGUCCAGUAUUUCCUCGGGAGUCAGCCUAAUCUUGGCUCUGUUCAUCAUGGUACUAUUAAUGGCACCAACACGCUUCUGCUGUCGAGAUUUCAUGGCUCUAAAGGUUACGGUCGGAGGAAAUAUCCAACCGACGGCGACGACGACGACGACGACGAUGAUGAUGAUUUAGUUGGAGAGGAUUUUGUUGACGACUAUGAGAAUGAUGAUAAUGAGUUUGAUUUUGAUGACGAUGAUGAUGAUGAUUCGGAUGCUGCUCCUGCUAAGAAACGAAACAAAUGAAUGUAAGAUUUGGAAUGCUUGACCAGUUGUUUUCCGUUUUAGACGAGAUAAUUAUCAUUUUUCUUGAAGUGAUUUAUUUUUCUUUCUUUAAUGGUAUUCUUGAUAGCAUGUGAUGAUCACCAUCAUGGAAAUGAUAGUUCCCGGCAUCCAACGGCUAUAAGAAGCGUGAUAAUACAUUUUAAACGGUGACUUUUCAAUGGCUGUAGAGGACAGGCUAGUGGGCGGAGUUAAGGGGCAGAUUUCUUCAAGUUUGUUAGGAACCAUUAUUAUACUGUUAGUGCCCAAGAUUAGCCAACCUGUAACUAAUAUAAUACUUCAUCUUUAUUAGUCCCACUUUCUAUUUUUAGCGUUUCAUAUAUCAGUUUCACUUUUGAUUUUGGUAAGUUUGUUUUUUUUUCUUAAGAUUACUAUAUUAUCUUUGUAUUAAAGGCUAAUUAUACAUUUAAUGUUAUUAUGAUAUCUAGAUGG